rnacentral:rRNA from 1 species
CAGUAGCCGCGGGAAUACGAAGGGUGCAAGCGUUACUCGGAAUUACUGGGCGUAAAGCGUGCGUAGGUGGUGGUUUAAGUCCGUUGUGAAAGCCCUGGGCUCAACCUGGGAAUUGCAGUGGAUACUGGAUCACUAGAGUGUGGUAGAGGAUAGUGGAAUUUCCGGUGUAGCAGUGAAAUGCGUAGAGAUCGGAAGGAACAUCUGUGGCGAAGGCGACUAUCUGGGCCAACACUGACACUGAGGCACGAAAGCGUGGGGAGCAAACAGGAUUAGAUACCCGUGUAGUCCCUGUCUCUUAUAC